CCUACGGGAGGCAGCAGUGGGGAAUAUUUCGCAAUGGGCGAAAGCCUGACGCUGCGACGCCGCGUGAGGGAUUAAGGUCUUCGGAUCGUAAACCUCUGUCAGCAGGGAAGAACGGUCACUGUGCUAAUCAGCAGUGAAUUGACGGUACCUGCUAAGGAAGCACCGGCUAACUCCGUGCCAGCAGCCGCGGGAAUACGGAGGGUGCGAGCGUUAAUCGGAAUUACUGGGCGUAAAGCGCUCGUAGGCGGUAUGUGAAGUCAAGGGUGAAAUCCCCGGGCUCAACGUGGGAACUGCCUUUGAAACUGGCAAACUGGAGUGUGUGAGAGGAUAGUGGAAUUCCAGGUGUAGGAGUGAAAUGCGGAGAUAUCUGGAGGAACAUCAGUGGCGAAGGCGACUAUCUGGCACAUAACUGACGCUGAGGAGCGAAAGCGAGGGUAGCAAACAGGAUUAGAUACCCCAGUAGUC
rnacentral:rRNA from 1 species